AUUCCAGAUAAAGCAUGUCUCCCAAAAGUGGGAACCGGUUUUGGGAUAAAGACAUGCGUGAAAACAAAAGCUUAAAGCGUGUUCCCUGAAUAUAGUAAGAUGCAACACGCUUUAAAGGUUGAAACCGGUGUUUCGAUAG
rfam:Ochrobactrum anthropi ATCC 49188 chromosome 1, complete sequence.